rnacentral:rRNA from 1 species
CACCAGCGCCACAAGUGGCAAUCGCAUUUAUUGGGCCUAAAGCGUCCGUAGCUGGUUUUGUAAAUUUCUUGUGAAAUCAUCAAGCUUAACUUGAUGGCUUGCAGGAAACACUGCAUAACUUGGAACCGGGAGGAGUCAAAAGUAUGUUUAGGGGCGCGGUAAAAUGCAUUAAUCCUAAACAGACUACCUAUGGCGAAGGCAUUUGACUAGAACGGGUUCGACAGUGAGGGACGAAGGCUAGGGGAGCGAACCG